GCCGCGAUGAGGAACUCGUGGGCGUCCUGCUGCUCGUAGCCGGCCAGGUGACGGGCGUGAGUCCACACCAGAUGGAGAAGACGGAAGGGGAUGUGCGGCGACCGAUGGCCUGAGUAGAACUGCGAAAGGAAGUCUUUUUCUAUUCAGGCCACGUUGUCAUGGUGCUGCGAUGCCAGGCAGCCGAGGCUUAUCUGCUGACAUAUCAGCUAUCUGUUAACACCAUCCAGGAACGGCGGUGAGACGCCCUGAGAGACGGAGAGAGCAGUGAGAAGUCAAAAGAUACCUGUUUGCUGUUGCCAUGACAACCUGCCUGUCAGGCUUCUCCUGGGCUGUUAUCCUCUGCAGGUAUGGAGGGGAAAAAAAAGAAAGAAGCAGGAGGAAGACAGGAAGUAGAAGCGGAAGGAGGUUGGGGGAGGGAGGGAAGAAGGGAGAACAGAAACUUCACGGAAUUGAUUGGAAGGGGGUACAAAAAGAAGACGCCAGAGGCACAAGGCUGACGGUGCAAUUAUAUUAAAUGCUUUUUACAAUACAGAAUAUCGAAAGGGUCAUCAGGUAACCAUGGGAACAAGUGGAGGGGAAAAAAAGACGAGGAUAGAGAGGAGGACGGGGUCCGACGGAAGGCUGCAAAAUGAGUGAAAACGCAUAAAAAUGGUUGGAUGAAAGAGGUGGAACGGCAAAAAAAGAAGGGAGGAUGAGGAGAGGAAGGGAGGAGGAGGAGGAGGAGGAGGAGGGGCCGGUGGUUUAAUAGAGGCUAAUUCCACAGGGUUUGUUAAAGACGACUUAAUUACCUCCUCACCAGUCUGCUGAGAUCUUCUCUCUCGCUCUGCAUUAGACCAUUUCUCACUCUGUUUUUUUGAUUCAGAAGCUAACCUAAUUAAAUUCACAAUUACACACUGUGGGAAAACACACACACAUGUGCGCACACACACACAUACAGACACCAGAGGGGGUCCUCCUGAGCUGGGCGAUAACGCAGAGCAAAGGAGGGCUUAAAAAAAAAAAAAAAACACUACCCGGCAGAUUCUCAACAUCUGCCAAAGCCAGCCUUUGUCAUGGACACCCCAAGUGUGUUUUGCUGCUGCGGCGCCGUUCUCCUCCGAAACACACCGCAGUGAAACGUACUUCACUCGCUGCUCGAGCAGCCUAAUUCUAUUAUGUGGAGAAUAAAAAAAGAACGCUGGCGGGGUGUGGAGCCGGUAUCGCCGCAUUAGGUGAACAGGAUGACGCCUCGUGUUGGAGAUAAUAUCCUGUUUUCAGUGUCUUUGCAAUGUUGCAUCAGAAGUCGUGUUUUUCCAUUACGUGUUGUUAUACACAUUAAAAAAAAAAAAAAGGUUGUACAAAAUGUCUGCACACUACAUCUCAAUGCAGCUUCUACCUUCGAUAAAAUGUCCCUUGUUCCAAAGCUGUGAACUGCACUGUGCAUUUCCACACAUUGCUGUAUGUCUUUGCAUAUACAGCAGCUGCCUGCUCCACGAAUGUAACGUGUUGUUAACCCUUUGGGAACCCCUCAGCUCAUUGGGUGGUCUUGAGGCCCUGUAUGAUGCAGAAUUCACUGUGAAAUAUGAUUUGAAUGUGUGCAGAAAACUAUAUGAUGGUGCUAUGCUGUCCUGAGGUCUGCUCUCGCAUGUUGCAUCAGACUCAGUCAGCUCAACCACCAAGAAGGACACUUCAGAGGGGCCGAUACUGGAGUUUUGAGGCCGAUAAAAUGUUUUUUUUUUCAAUUUAUUUUCUUAACAAUGUGGCAUAUGUAAUAUUUCAAUUGAAAAUAUCAAAACAUUAAGUAAAAUGAUCAACAGAAUGUGAAGAAAUAUCCGCUUUCACGUUUUGAUGUCUAUGUAUAAGUUAGCAUGCCAACCAGCUAGCCCCGGAACUGUCUUGGUCCAAAGCUCCAGUGCCAAUGGUGUAAACAACAAGACUUUUUCUAUGCUCCCAGUCCAGAUGGCUAGCUGCACAGCUAUCUCAGCUUAAAGCCUGAAACACACCAGGCCAACCGUUGGCCAUAUGAAGUGUUUGGGGAGAGUCGGACGAGUUCGACAGCAUCUGCUCUGAUUCAACAUGCGAAGUCUGAGAAGGUUGGCUGUUGGCUGUCUGAACCAAUUGAUUCUCUGAUUGGUUGUGUGCUAGCUGUAUGACCAUUCUGAUUGGUGGUGUGCUAGCAAAUCAGCGCAGUGUGUAGGAGGGACGGAAUACUGUGUGCGCCACUGAACUCUAUGGUGUGUGCUUUGUUUUACUAUGCACUCCGUUCCGCCAUUUUCUGCUUUCAUGUUUUAGAUUACUGGCACAACACUAACGCCACCCGAUCUUGUGCAAGCGCAGAAUGUACACGCCGCUGUGUCAUUGGCAGCCGUCAAGGUGGUAUGUUUCAAUGCAAAUCUUCUGCCAAACGGGUCAGACGAGAGGCAACGGAGUGGUCGGAUAAAGGUGGGUGGCUGUUGGUUUGAGUCUGGGCGGUGUGUGGGGCCUUAAGGCUAUCAAUAGCAAGAAAUUACAGUUACUCUUGUGAUAUGCUGCCCCCCAUUGGUUUGGAGUUUGAAGUUAACAGGUGGCCAAUUCUUCAGCUUAAAAUGAACCUAAAAUUAACAAACAGCUGUAUAUGGAUCCCUUAUAUUGUAAGUGUGGUAUUUUCCAGAUGAAAAAUAUGGUGAACAGGCAUUGUGGAGGACAGACUGUUUCUCAAUGACACCAAGUAUAUAUCAUGCCAUUUUUGUACAACAAUGUCUUGUUACGUCAGGGCUGAUAUGUACAUUGAUAGUGACAUGUCUGCUAUGAGCCACUAUUAGCAGAUUUAUUGGUCUAGCUCUACUUAGCGGUCGCAUUGCAUCAUCCUGGUUCGAUGGAAAAAAGGGUACAACCUCCCUCUAUCCUUGACUUUUCCUCAGCCCCACGACUGCAUGGGCGGAGAACGCCAACCACUGCUGGUAUCCAAUGUGCAGUGCAUGUGCAUUAUGUGCACAAUCCACUUAUCCUGAAAACAGGAGAUUAGUUGGAUGGUGUUAAAGGAUGUGGGCGAAACUAUGUAUUGCAAAGUCUGCUGCAAGUUUGAGAGAUAGGUGGAUAAGACUGAACAUGACAAUUCUGUUUUCACUGUUAUUUGAUGUGAAGUGCUAAUAAAUAAAUUAAAAACGUGGAUAGGGAUAAGUAAUA